ACCAAAGCCCCGGAUUUGGAAUCCGAGUCCAUCUGCAGAAUCCGGAAUCUUCACUGUCCUGAUACAAACAAAGAUUCAAAAGGAAUGUAGAAAAUGUUAUUCAAUAAAAAGUUUCAGAUUCAGCACCAUCCACUUACAGAUACUUUGCACCACUGACAUGAGAAAAAGGGCAAGCUGAGAUGCUGAAACCAAUCAAAGGAAGGCAAUACCGUUUCACAGUGCCAUUGCAUUUCUCAAGACACCUUUGCUUAUUAAUGUAAGAAACACGUCUCCAUUCUGCUGCUGAACCAGAGCCAUUUCCAAGGCACUCUGUGUGUGCUACCUGGUAAGAGAGUAUGGUUCCUCCUUACCCAGCAAAAUUUGAUCAAAAUUGCU